rnacentral:rRNA from 1 species
GACGAACGCUGGCGGCGUGCUUAACACAUGCAAGUCGAACGGUGAUGCUCCAGCUUGCUGGAGUGGAUCAGUGGCGAACGGGUGAGUAACACGUGAGCAACCUGCCCCAGACUCUGGAAUAAGCGCUGGAAACGGCGUCUAAUACUGGAUACGAAACUGGCCCGCAUGGGCAUGGUUUGGAAAGUUUUUCGGUUUGGGAUGGGCUCGCGGCCUAUCAGCUUGUUGGUGAGGUAAUGGCUCACCAAGGCGACGACGGGUAGCCGGCCUGAGAGGGCGACCGGCCACACUGGGACUGAGAGACGGCCCAGACUCCUACGGGAGGCAGCAGUGGGGAAUAUUGCACAAUGGGCGAAAGCCUGAUGCAGCGACGCCGCGUGAGGGAUGACGGCCUUCGGGUUGUAAACCUCUUUCAGCAGGGAAGAAGCGAAAGUGACGGUACCUGCAGAAGAAGCACCGGCUAACUACGUG